UUGCUGGACGGAACGGAGUAGGCGAACGGGUAGGAGGUAAUACGUAAGCAACCUGCCUGCAAGGACUGGGAUAACACCUGGAAACGGGCGCUAAUACCGGAUAGGUAACAAAGGGGCAUCCCUAUGUUAUUAAAGGUUAGAAACACAAAGCAGAUGGGCUUACGGUGCAUUAGCUAGUUGGUGAGGUAACGGCCCACCAAGGCGAUGAUGCAUAGCCGGCCUGAGAGGGUGAACGGCCACAUUGGGACUGAGACACGGCCCAGACUCCUACGGGAGGCAGCAGUAGGGAAUUUUCGGCAAUGGACGAAAGUCUGACCGAGCAACGCCGCCGCGAGUGAAGAAGGUUUUCGGAUUGUAAAGCUCUGUUGUAAGGGAAGAACAGCACGGAAAGAAUCCGUGAAUGACGGUACCUUACCAGAAAGCCACGGCUAACUACGUGCCAGCAGCCGC
rnacentral:rRNA from 1 species